rnacentral:rRNA from 1 species
UGGGGAAUCUUGCACAAUGGGGACAACCCUGAUGCAGCGACGCCGCGUGAGCGAUGAAGCCCUUCGGGGCGUAAAGCUCUUUCGACCGGAACGAUAAUGACGGUACCGGGAGAAGAAGCUGCGGCUAACUACGUGCCAGCAGCCGCGGUAAUACGUAGGCAGCAAGCGUUGUUCGGAGUUACUGGGCGUAAAGAGUGCGUAGGCGGUUUUCUAAGUUCGGUGUGAAAUCUCCCGGCUUAACUGGGAGGGUGCGCCGAAGACUGGGAAGCUGGAGUGUGGGAAAGGCAGGCGGAAUUCCUGGUGUAGCGGUGAAAUGCGUAGAUAUCAGGAGGAACACCGGCGGUGUAGACGGCUUGCUAGACCAUAACUGACGCUGAGGCACGAAAGCGUGGGUAGCAAACA